rnacentral:lncRNA from 1 species
GAUUUUUUUUUUCUAUUUAGCUAGGUUGGUCCUUGGACAAGAGACCUACAGUCCAUCCCUGGACCAGUCUUGGAAAUCUCUUGAAUUUUAUCAGAGGAAAUACUUUGCUGGCAAAGUCUUUGGGAACCCAGAGCUAUCUCUCAGUCACAAUGAGGCAUUGAAGGACUUCCACAUGGCACAUACCCAAUAAAGAUAGGCAAAUACAGGUACAGGAUGGAGUCCUGCUUUGUCCAAGUUGGGAGGAUCAUGUGGCUCCCUGGCUGUCGAAGGACUCUUGCAGCUCUGCAAACAUGUUCCGUGGCUUCCUUGAACGACACCAUUGAAUUGGAAAGCUAGGAAAGGAAAUGGAAGGAAGAAAUAAAUUUCAGUGGUACUAGGGUGGGGGAAUAUCU